rnacentral:rRNA from 1 species
UACGGGGGAGCAAGCGUUGUUCGGAUUUACUGGGCGUAAAGGGCGCGUAGGCGGCCUCCGCAAGUCAGCUGUGAAAUCUCCGAGCUUAACUCGGAAAGGUCAACUGAUACUGCGGGGCUAGAGUGCGGAAGGGGCAACUGGAAUUCUUGGUGUAGCGGUGAAAUGCGUAGAUAUCAAGAGGAACACCUGCGGCGAAGGCGGGUUGCUGGGCCGACACUGACGCUGAGGCGCGAAAGCUAGGGGAGCGAACGGG